AGGUGCAGAGCUUCUGAGGCAAUUCUUGAACUGACUGAAGAUAUCCCUUAAACUGGACCAUGAAAAGUAACAGGUGAUAUUUCUCCAUUUCUCCUCUAUUUUCUGGCUUUGUUGUGCAUACACAGGUCAGGGGUAUAGAAGAUACAAGUAUUUCUGCAGUUUCUGCUGGACCAUAGACAGAGUACCCUGACCUUGGGAAAAGGCUCUAAUCUAGUGUCUUUAUAGAGAUGAGGAAGCAGCUUUGACAAGUGGAAGUUAAGCCCUGGAUGGUCCUGGACUAUCUGGCCAUUGUUUAAUCUUCUUAACAUGGUCAGCCUGAUGAGUAAUUCUGAGCCUUCACCAAGGUCUAAUGUGACACCAUCUGUAACGCGUUUCUGAAAUCUUGUUAGACCAUAUGUUUGGGAACUGCUGAGUCACGGCCUGAACCACUGAUUGAGCACCUGAAAGAGGAGACCCAGUCAGCCCUGAGUGCACAGGUGGAGGCAAUUCAUCUGCGAGACCAGUGGAGCCAGACCUCAUGUAAGGGCUUAUUGCCCGAGGAACAAUCUUUUGCUGGAGAUUUCUCCUAUGUGGAGUUUUUCUGCGAGCUAAGAUCUUUGGAGAUGGGUGAGCAUUCUUCUUUUUGACACAUUUUUUUGUUGCAGUGGUCCUGCUUCUCUUACACCAUAUUUUCUUUAACCUUAGAUGGCACUUCCAAACUCUUUGUUUAGUGAAACUUAAUUUUCUGUCUUAAUAAAGGCCAACGUAUAAUGAACUAAAUUGCAUGCUUUUCAAACCAUUACAGCUCCUUAAUACGAAUUCAUUCUUCUUCUGCUGUUUAAUGAGGAUGCAUAGUCAAAGGCUGGGGAACCUGCCUUGAUUCUUGAACUCUUCUUGCCCCAAUAUAAUAUACUUAGAAGUGUUUGUCAGGAUAUCCUUUUGCUGUUUUCCUUCUUUGUCUUCCCAAAGAAAAACUGUUAAGCGAAUAUUCC
rnacentral:lncRNA from 7 species